rnacentral:siRNA from 1 species
UGUGGUAUACCGCGGGACGA